rnacentral:rRNA from 1 species
UACGGAGGGGGCUAGCGUUGUUCGGAAUUACUGGGCGUAAAGCGCGCGUAGGCGGCUUUGUAAGUUAGAGGUGAAAGCCCGGAGCUCAACUCCGGAAUUGCCUUUAAGACUGCAUCGCUAGAAUCAUGGAGAGGUGAGUGGAAUUCCGAGUGUAGAGGUGAAAUUCGUAGAUAUUCGGAAGAACACCAGUGGCGAAGGCGACUCACUGGACUGGUACUGACGCUGAGGCGCGAAAGCGUGGGGAGCAAACGGG